rnacentral:rRNA from 1 species
CUGAUGUGAAAGCGUUCGGCUCAGCCGGAGAAUUGCAUCAGAAACUGUUGAACUUGAGUGCAGAAGAGGAGAGUGGAACUCCAUGUGUAGCGGUGGAAUGCGUAGAUAUAUGGAAGAACACCAGUGGCGAAGGCGGCUCUCUGGUCUGCAACUGACGCUGAGGCUCGAAAGCAUGGGUAGCGAACAGGAUUAGAUACCCUGGUAGUCCAUGCCGUAAACGAUGAGUGCUAAGUGUUGGGAGGUUUCCGCCUCUCAGUGCUGCAGCUAACGCAUUAAGCACUCCGCCUGGGGAGUACGACCGCAAGGUUGAAACUCAAAGGAAUUGACGGGGGCCCGCACAAGCGGUGGAGCAUGUGGUUUAAUUCGAAGCAACGCGAAGAACCUUACCAGGUCUUGACAUCCAGUGCAAACCUAAGAGAUUAGGUGUUCCCUUCGGGGACGCUGAGACAGGUGGUGCAUGGCUGUCGUCAGCUCGUGUCGUGAGAUGUUGGGUUAAGUCCCGCAACGAGCGCAACCCUUGUCAUUAGUUGCCAUCAUUAAGUUGGGCACUCUAAUGAGACUGCCGGUGACAAACCGGAGGAAGGUGGGGAUGACGUCAAGUCAUCAUGCCCCUUAUGACCUGGGCUACACACGUGCUACAAUGGACGGUACAACGAGAAGCGAACCUGCGAAGGCAAGCGGAUCUCUUAAAGCCGUUCUCAGUUCGGACUGUAGGCUGCAACUCGCCUACACGAAGCUGGAAUCGCUAGUAAUCGCGGUUCAGCACGCCGCGGUGAAUACGUUCCCGGGCCUUGCACUCACCGCCCGUCA